AUUGAACGCUGGCGGCAGGCCUAACACAUGCAAGUCGAGCGCGAAAGUUCUUCGGAAUGAGUAAAGCGGCGGACGGGUGAGUAAUACAUGGGAAUCUGCCUGGUAGUGGGGGACAACGUUUCGAAAGGAACGCUAAUACCGCAUACGCCCUACGGGGAAAGGGGGGAUCUUCGGACCCCUCGCUAUCAGAUGAGCCCAUG
rnacentral:rRNA from 1 species